GCUUUUGAAUAUGCUUCUAGGUUGGUCAUAACUUUCCUUCCAAGGAGUAAGCAUCCUUUAGUUUCAUUGCUGCAAUCACCAUCUGCAGUGAUUUUGGAGCCCAAAACAUAAAGUCUGUCGCUGUUUCCAUUGUUUCCCUGUCUAUUUGCCAUGAAGUGAUGGGACCAGAGGCCAUGAUCUUAGUUUUCUGAAUGUUGAGUUUUAAGCCAACUUUUUUCACUCUCCUCUUUGACUUUCAUCAGGAGGCUCAUUAGUCCUUCGCUUUCUGCCGUAAGAAUGGUGUCAUCUGUAUAUCUGAGGUUGUUGAUAUUUCUCCUGGCAAUCUUGACUCCAGCUUGUGCUUCCUCUAGCCAAGCGUUUCUCAUGAUGUACUCUACAUAUAAGUUAAAAUAAGCAGGUUGAUAAUAUAUAGCCUUGGCGUACUUCUUUCAGGAUUUGGAACCAGUCUGUUGUUCCAUGUCCAGUUCUAACUGCUGCUUCCUGACCUGCAUACACAUGAGGCUAAUGGAAGCUUCCUGAUGGGAGAGACUGACUGAGGGGGAAACUGGGUCUUGUUCUGAUGGGUGAGGCCAUGCUCAGUUAAUCUUUAAUCCAAUCUGUUGAUGGUCUGGGCUGUUUUCACUCCCUGUUACUUGACCUGAGGCCACAGUAUGGUGGAGGUAAUGAAGAUUACCUCCUUCAAACGGUCCCAUGCUCUCACUGCUGCACGCAGUGCCCCCAAACCUGCAGGCCACCACUGACCCACACCUCAGCCAGAGACUUCUGGACACUCAUGGGCUAGUCUCCUGUGGGGUCACUGCUCCUUUCUCCUGGGUCCUGGUGCACACAAGGUUUUGUUUGUGCCCUCCAAGAGUCUCUUUCCCAGUCUUGUUUAAGUUCUGGCUGCUCUAUGGUGGGGUUAAUGACGACCUCCUUCAAGAGGGCUUAUGCCAUACCCACCAAGAAGCCUUUCAAAAACAGGUUUAACAAUAAAGGAACUCUUGAGAGGAAGCUCACAUUUGUUAAGCAUUUAUGUGUCAGACAUUAUGACUGAUACUGAAACUUUGCAGCAACCCAACAAAGAAGACAUUUCUCUUUUAUUACAAAGAAACUGGCUCAGGAAAUGGAAGGAAAGUAACAUCUGUGCUAUGUUCUAUGCCUAUUGGGGUUUGUUUUUGAAGAUUUUUUGAUGUGGAGCAUUUUUAAGGUCUUUUUUGAAUUUGUUAACAAUACUGUUUCUGUUUUUUUUUUAAUGUUUUGGUUUUUUGGCCCUGAGGUAUAUGGUAUCUUAGUUCCCCAACCAGGGAUUGCACUUGCACCCCCUGCAUUGGAAGGCAAACUCUUAACCACUGGACUGCCAUGGAAGUUCCUGUUUGUUUUUAAAGUAUGAAAAAGUAUAAAAGUAGUAUAUACACAAGCUAACUAGUAUUGAUCAUUUUAGGAUCAUUCUUAAGAUUUUAAAUAAAAUACUAUAAACAAAGACAUACUUUAAUCAAUCACCUUGCCCAUUCCCCUCCCUAAGAAAUUAUGAGUUCAGUGUUGCCUUUUCUGUUUAUUUUUAUACUUAGGUAUUCAUAAACAAAAUAUAGUCAUUCAGAUGUUGAAAUCUUGACACUUAUUUCAUUGGACUUUAUGCUUUGGGAUAGUCUUCUCUUAAUAGAUGAACUUAGUAUCUCUAUGUUUAUUAUCCUGGCAUGUAUAUUCCUGUCAUUGCAGUUGUUGUUAUGGAGGAUACAGGAACGAAUCUUCUCUUUCCUCCUUGUUCUUACAUUUAAAGCAGAUUUUAUCUUCCCCCGACCCCCCAAC
ensembl:lncRNA